rnacentral:lncRNA from 1 species
CUAACUAAUACAAAUAAAAAGUUGUAACUAGGCUAAUACAAUAGGGAAACAUACAAACAACACAUGCAUAUACCAGAUACAAUUAUAACUGAUUAAUUAUAGUCUAAAUAAAGAAAUGUCUUUAUGUGUGUGCGUUUGUGUGUGUGUUAGUUUGCUUGGUCGGUCAGGCCCAUUGCCUGGCCAUUUACAGCUCUUUGGACAGUGUUUGAAGUCAGAUGGGAGAGAUGAUAGUGGGGGCUGGUUAGAAUCUCCUUGACGGCGAGGAACCAUUUGGCAAUUUAAACCCCAUACAAACGUAAAGUCUCUGACCAGAACUGUAAUUUAUAUGCAAAUGUCAAAAGGCUAAAAGGGUCUCUUAAGCCAUAAACACCCCAAAGAUCAUGCAUGAUUCUACGCAGACGCUACACAGUGUUUUGCUGACGCGAUCUGGAGCUCGUUUCUAAAGUUUCCUGAUGUUAUGUUAUUCUAGAUACAACAUGACUGUCCCGGCUCUGAAAGGCUGUGUGAAAAUCAGCACAGCGGGCGGCUCCACCCCGAGCGUCGAGGAGAAAGUGGGAGUCGGCAGAGGCUGCACUAACGAGCUGCAGAUGGUCAGGAAAGCGGAGUUCAGUCUCGGCAGUGCACUGGAGAAACUCCAUGAAGACUUCAGCUUAGACAAUGUCAGUCUUUCUCUGGGCUUCAGGAGUACAAAACCAGAUGGCAUCCUGCUGCAGAACAGCAAAAACAAUAAAGACAUGGAGCUUUCCAUGGAGAGCGGAUAUGUGCUCCUCAAAUUCCAGGGCAGCGUCUGGAAAUCUACUAAGCAGUACCAGGAUGGAGAAUGGCAUUAUCUCACUGUUUUCUCUUGUACAAGCAUCUUGUACAAGAAAAUCCGAUAUCAUGCAAAUUUGCGUAUUAGAAAUUGUAGCAACUACUUAUAAAUUCCUAACACUUUCUAUUUAAUAUCAAUACCUAUAUUUCAUAGGUGGCUUUAUAGUAGAGUUGUAUAUCACGCAGCACGUCUCAUUGUGUAUUUAUCAUCUGCACUGUGAUCUCUCUGUGGCAGAAUAAAGACAUGGAGCUUUCCAUGGAGAGCGGAUAUGUGCUCCUCAAAUUCCAGGGCAGCGUCUGGAAAUCUACUAAGCAGUACCAGGAUGGAGAAUGGCAUUAUCUCACUGUUUUCAAACAGGGCCAAGGCAUUGAACUUCGCAUCAAUGAAGAAGAUGUUGGCCAGAGACAGACAGGAUCUUCAUCUGGACCGUAUUCGUCCAGCGUAAUCCUCGGCAAAGACACCUUCAAGGGCUGCAUCUCCAACCUGUAUCUGAGGAGACCUGCUUCUCUUAACAGAGCGGAGGAUCUGAGCGCUUACUCUUCCACAGGAGACGUGUUGUUGAACACAUGCAGUAUAUAGCAGCGCAGCUAUUAGCAG